UCUUUGAUGCCAUUGAUAGAAAAAAUAGGAGUAAAAUUAGAAAUCAAUGUGUACCUUUUUCUGUUACAACGGAAGGUGAUGAUUUUGCUACUGAAAGAAUCGCCUCAAGUCCACUUUGUCCCUCUCUUGAAAGUGGAGUAUUAUUUCACAAAUUAAAUGCCUUUUUAUGGUAUUUUUUUCUUGAUCUGCGUUUUCCUACUCAAGAAAUUUCUUUUAAUUUUUCUCAUGUUUUGUCUGAAGAAGCAGCAGUAUUAUGUAUAGAGAAAUUAGGCAAAUAAACAGUUGUUGAGUAACUAUUC
rnacentral:lncRNA from 1 species